UAGCCUUGACAUUGAUUGAACACACUAGAGAUAGAGUGGUGCCCUUCGGGGAACAUGAAAACAGGUGCUGCACGGCUGUCGUCAGCUCGUGUCGUGAGAUGUUGGGUUAAGUCCCGCAACGAGCGCAACCCUCGUCCUUAGUUGCUAGCAGUUCGGCUGAGCACUCUAAGGAGACUGCCUUCGUAAGGAGGAGGAAGGUGAGGACGACGUCAAGUCAUCAUGGCCCUUACGGCUAGGGCAACACACGUGCUACAAUGGUUAGGACAAUGAGAAGCGAUACCGCGAGGUGGAGCAAAUCUAUAAACCUAAUCUCAGUUCGGAUAGCAGUCUGCAACUCGACUGCUUGAAGCUGGAAUCACUAGUAAUCGUAAAUCAGCUAUGUUACGGUGAAUACGUUCCCGGGUCU
rnacentral:rRNA from 1 species